UACGUAGGGUGCAAGCGUUAAUCGGAAUUACUGGGCGUAAAGAGUGUGUAGGCGGCUAUGUAAGACAGAUGUGAAAUCCCUGGGCUUAACCUAGGAACUGCAUUUGUGACUGCAUGGCUAGAGUGUGGUAGAGGGAGAUGGAAUUCCGCAUGUAGCAGUGAAAUGCGUAGAUAUGCGGAGGAACACCGAUGGCUAAGGCAAUCCCCUGGACCGGUACUGACGCUCAGGCACGAAAGCGUGGGGAGCAAACAGG
rnacentral:rRNA from 1 species